rnacentral:rRNA from 1 species
GGUGCUAAUACCGUAUAACACUAUUUUCCGCAUGGAAGAAAGUUGAAAGGCGCUUUUGCGUCACUGAUGGAUGGACCCGCGGUGCAUUAGCUAGUUGGUGAGGUAACGGCUCACCAAGGCCACGAUGCAUAGCCGACCUGAGAGGGUGAUCGGCCACACUGGGACUGAGACACGGCCCAGACUCCUACGGGAGGCAGCAGUGGGGAAUCUUCGGCAAUGGACGAAAGUCUGACCGAGCAACGCCGCGUGAGUGAAGAAGGUUUUCGGAUCGUAAAACUCCGUUGUUAGAGAAGAACAAGGAUGAGAGUAGAACGUUCAUCCCUUGACGGUAUCUAACCAGAAAGCCACGGCUAACUACGUGCCAGCAGCCGCGGUAAUACGUAGGUGGCAAGCGUUGUCCGGAUUUAUUGGGCGUAAAGCGAGCGCAGGCGGUUUCUUAAGUCUGAUGUGAAAGCCCCCGGCUCAACCGGGGAGGGUCAUUGGAAACUGGGAGACUUGAGUGCAGAAGAGGAGAGUGGAAUUCCAUGUGUAGCGGUGAAAUGCGUAGAUAUAUGGAGGAACACCAGUGGCGAAGGCGGCUCUCUGGUCUGUAACUGACGCUGAGGCUCGAAAGCGUGGGGAGCGAACAGGAUUAGAUACCCUGGUAGUCCACGCCGUAAACGA